rnacentral:rRNA from 1 species
AACGAACGCUGGCGGCAUGCUUAACACAUGCAAGUCGAACGAGACCUCCGGGUCUAGUGGCGCACGGGUGCGUACCGCGUGGGAACCUGCCCUUAGGUUCCGUAUAACUCCCCGAAAGGGGUGCUAAUACCGGUUAAUUUCUUCGGACCAAAGAUUUCUCGCUUUUGGAUGGGGGCGCGUUGGUUUAGCUAGUUGGUAGGGUAAAAGCCUACCAAGGCGUCGAUGCUUAGCUGGUGUGAGAGGAUGAUCAGCCACACUGGGACUGAGACACGGCCCAGACUGCUACGGGAGGCAGCAGUGGGGAAUAUAAGGCGAUGAGCGAAAGCCUGAUCCAGCAAUGCCGCGUGAGUGGUGAAGGCCUUAGGGUUGUAAAGCUCUUUUACCCGGGAUGAUAGUGACGGUACCGGGAGAAUAAGCUCCGGCUAACUCCGUG